rnacentral:tRNA from 1 species
UGGCUCAGAGGGUAAAGCAUCUGCCUGGAAUGCGGGAGACCCAGGUUCGAUCCCUGG